UACGUAGGGGGCAAGCGUUAUCCGGAUUUACUGGGUGUAAAGGGAGCGUAGACGGGAUAGCAAGUCUGAAGUGAAAGCCCGGGGCUCAACCCCGGGACUGCUUUGGAAACUGUUGACCUGGAGUGCUGGAGAGGCAAGUGGAAUUCCUAGUGUAGCGGUGAAAUGCGUAGAUAUUAGGAGGAACACCAGUGGCGAAGGCGGCUUACUGGACAGUAACUGACGUUGAGGCUCGAAAGCGUGGGGAGCAAACAGG
rnacentral:rRNA from 1 species